CCAGACUCCUACGGGAGGCAGCAGUGGGGGAUAUUGGACAAUGGGGGAAACCCUGAUCCAGCGACGCCGCGUGAGUGAAGAAGUAUUUCGGUAUGUAAAGCUCUGUCAGCAGGGAAGAAAGAAAUGACGGUACCUGACCAAGAAGCCCCGGCUAACUACGUGCCAGCAGCCGCGGUAAUACGUAGGUGGCAAGCGUUGUCCGGAUUUACUGGGUGUAAAGGGCGUGCAGCCGGGAAGACAAGUCAGAUGUGAAAUCCCGCGGCUCAACCGCGGAACUGCAUUUGAAACUGUUUUUCUUGAGUACCGGAGAGGUCAUCGGAAUUCCUUGUGUAGCGGUGAAAUGCGUAGAUAUAAGGAAGAACACCAGUGGCGAAGGCGGAUUACUGGACGAUAACUGACGGUGAGGCGCGAAAGCGUGGGGAGCAAACAGGAUUAGAUACCCCGGUAU
rnacentral:rRNA from 1 species